GAGUUGCGAACGGGUGAGUAACGCGUAGGUAACCUGCCUGGUAGCGGGGGAUAACUAUUGGAAACGAUAGCUAAUACCGCAUAAAAUGGAUAAUCGCAUGAUAAUCAAUUGAAAGGUGCAAAUGCAUCACUACCAGAUGGACCUGCGUUGUAUUAGCUAGUUGGUGAGGUAACGGCUCACCAAGGCAACGAUACAUAGCCGACCUGAGAGGGUGAUCGGCCACACUGGGACUGAGACACGGCCCAGACUCC
rnacentral:rRNA from 1 species